rnacentral:rRNA from 1 species
GAUAUUAAAGGGCUGCAGUAUAUUGACUGUACAAAGGUAGCAUAAUCAUUAGUCUUUUAAUUGAAGACUUGUAUGAAAGAUUUGAUGAAAUAUAAACUGUCUCUAUUAUAUUUAUAGAAAUUAAUUUUUUAGUUAAAAAGCUAAAAUUAAAUUAAAAGACGAGAAGACCCUAUAGAGUUUUAUAAUUAAUUUAAUUAUAAUUAAAUAUAUAAAUAUUUAUUAAAAUUAAAUUAAUUAUUAUAUUGGGGUGAUAGUAAAAUUAAAAUAACUUUUAUUAAAAAUAAAACAUUAAUAGGUGAAUAAAUGAUCCAUUAAUUAGUGAUUAAAAGAAAAAAUUACCUUAGGGAUAACAGCGUAAUAUUUUUUUUUAGUACAAAUAAAAAAAAAAGUUUGCGACCUCGAUGUUGGAUUAAGAUAAAAUUUAAAUGCAAAAGUUUAAAAUUUU